rnacentral:rRNA from 1 species
UACGGGGGGGGCAAGCGUUGUUCGGAAUUACUGGGCGUAAAGGGCUCGUAGGCGGCCAACUAAGUCAGACGUGAAAUCCCCAGGCUCAACCUGGGAACUGCGUCUGAUACUGGAUGGCUUGAAUCCGGGAGAGGGAUGCAGAAUUCCAGGUGUAGCGGUGAAAUGCGUAGAUAUCUGGAGGAAUACCGGUGGCGAAGGCGGCAUCCUGGACUGGCAUUGACGCUGAGGAGCGAAAGCCAGGGGAGCAAACGGG